UUUGUAGAUGACACAAAAGUAGGUGGUUUUGUAGUUAGUGAAGAUGGUUGUCAAAAAUUGCAGCAGGAUCUUGAUCGAUUGGCCAGGUGGGCUGAGGAAUGGUUAACUGGAAUUUAAUACGGAGAAAUGCGAGGUGCGACAUUUUGGGAUGUCAACAAUAGACAAUAAGUGCAGGAGUAGGCCAUUCGGC